rnacentral:rRNA from 1 species
UACGAGAGGCCCAAACGUUAUUCGGAUUUACUGGGCUUAAAGAGUUCGUAGGCGGUGCAGAAAGUGGGGUGUGAAAGCCCUCGGCUCAACCGAGGAAUUGCGCUCCAAACUACCUGUACUCGAGGAAGCUAGAGGUGAGCAGAACAGAUGGUGGAGCGGUGAAAUGCGUUGAUAUCAUCUGGAAUACCGGAGGCGAAGGCGGCUCACUGGGGCUUUUCUGACGCUGAGGAACGGAAAGCCAGGGUAGCGAACGGGG